UGCAAUCUACCUUUUACAGGGGGAUAGCCCAGAGAAAUUUGGAUUAAUACCCCAUGGUAUAGUGAGUUGGCAUCAACAUACUAUUAAAGUCACAACGGUAAAAGAUGAGCAUGCGUCCCAUUAGCUAGAUGGUAAGGUAACGGCUUACCAUGGCCACGAUGGGUAGGGGUCCUGAGAGGGAGAUCCCCCACACUGGUACUGAGACACGGACCAGACUCCUACGGGAGGCAGCAGUGAGGAAUAUUGGACAAUGGGCGCAAGCCUGAUCCAGCCAUGCCGCGUGCAGGAUGAAGGUCCUAUGGAUUGUAAACUGCUUUUAUACGAGAAGAAACACUCCUUCGUGAAGGAAUUUGACGGUAUCGUAAGAAUAAGGAUCGGCUAACUCCGUGCCAGCAGCCGCGGUAAUACGGAGGAUCCAAGCGUUAUCCGGAAUCAUUGGGUUUAAAGGGUCCGUAGGCGGUCUUGUAAGUCAGUGGUGAAAGCCCAUCGCUCAACGGUGGAACGGCCAUUGAUACUGCUGGACUUGAAUUAUUAGGAAGUAACUAGAAUAUGUAGUGUAGCGGUG
rnacentral:rRNA from 1 species